UUGAAUCACUGUUUAUUCUGUAGAGACCCAGUUAUUUUUACUGUAGCACUUGACAAACACUUCCACAAGAGAUCCACUUUGGAUGAUUACGGAACUAAUCCAUACGUCAAGCCACCUGACUACCCUGCAGGGAGGACAAGAAAUCUCUGGUGCUCCAAUUUCUACUGAGUGAUGCAUGUGGCCCGUCAAAGAGACACAGCGAGAACAGGAACACAAGCAGGGGAAGUGGGAGAGGGAGAAGCAGG